UUGGUCCUACGGGAGGCAGCAGUGAGGAAUAUUGGCCAAUGGGCGCAGGCCUGAACCAGCCAAGUCGCGUGAGGGAAGACUGCCCUAUGGGUUGUAAACCUCUUUUGUCAGGGAGCAACGCCGGCUACGUGUAGCCGGACUGAGAGUACCUGAAGAAAAAGCAUCGGCUAACUCCGUGCCAGCAGCCGCGGUAAUACGGAGGAUGCGAGCGUUAUCCGGAUUUAUUGGGUUUAAAGGGUGCGUAGGCGGAAUGCCAAGUCAGCGGUAAAAUCGCGGGGCUCAACCUCGCUCCGCCGUUGAAACUG
rnacentral:rRNA from 1 species